AUACUCUAGGACAUUUUGCCAGUAAGUUGUUUGACUAUGUUUAAGACCCCUAAGUUUAGGAAAACAUAAAAAAUGGUUGCAGAAGGUGAUCAGCAAGAGCCCUGGGUCAGUGCAAGCAAUAAAAAAGACUAACUGCUCACCACUGUCAUGGAAGCUACAGGAUUUAAGUGUCAUGAGCUUGGUGGAUUUAAUAGUUUGCCCUGUCAGUCUUUAAAUUUAAAGGGCUUAGUUAAAGGUGUCCAAAGACAGGAGGUGGUCUGUAAAAGGUUGGAUGACAACUCCAUUGUCCAGAACAAUUACUGUGACCCUGACAGUAAGCCACCUGAAAAUCAAAGAGCCUGCAACACUGAGCCCUGCCCACCUGAGUGGUUCAUUGGGGAUUGGUUGGAGUGCAGCAAGACUUGUGAUGGUGGGAUGCGCACAAGGGCAGUGCUCUGCAUCAGGAAGAUCGGACCUUCUGAGGAGGAGACGCUGGACUACAGUGGUUGUUUAACACACCGGCCUGUCGAAAAAGAGCCCUGCAACAACCAGUCAUGUCCACCACAGUGGGUGGCUUUGGACUGGUCUGAGUGUACUCCAAAAUGUGGUCCAGGAUUCAAGCAUCGGAUUGUUCUGUGCAAGAGCAGUGACCUUUCUAAGACAUUCCCAGCUGCACAAUGUCCAGAGGAAAGCAAACCUCCUGUCCGCAUCCGCUGCAGUUUGGGCCGCUGCCCUCCUCCUCGCUGGGUCACAGGAGACUGGGGCCAGUGUUCUGCUCAGUGUGGCCUUGGACAGCAGAUGAGAACUGUGCAGUGUCUCUCCUACACCGGACAGGCAUCUAGUGACUGUCCAGAAACUGUUCGGCCUCCAUCAAUGCAGCAGUGUGAAAGCAAAUGUGACAGUACCCCCAUUUCUAAUACUGAAGAGUGCAAAGAUGUGAAUAAAGUGGCUUAUUGCCCACUGGUGCUGAAGUUCAAGUUCUGCAGUCGAGCAUACUUCAGACAGAUGUGUUGUAAGACCUGCCAAGGACACUGACCCACAGAAAGCCAGAGAGAGUGCCUUGUCAUUUCAUCAUGGAAAUGCAUCCAUCAAAGAGAGCCACCCAGAGGAAGAGGAUUGAUGUCCUUGCAAAUGCAUUACCCUGUGGAAAACGUAACCACUGGUCAGCCCUAGCUGACAAAAUUUCAAUAUUAUUUUAACUUCUGUGAAGUGGGAUUUAUUGAUCCAAAGUGCUGGACACGGUAUUAGGAGGGAAUGCCAGAUUGGAGAGAUCCAAACAACACAGGGAGACUUGCUUACUGUGGAGCGUUUGUGUUCUUUCGAGUAAAUCCAAUAGCCUGUUU
rnacentral:sRNA from 1 species